UUUUAUUACAUUUACUGUAAUCAUUCGUACACAUUGAAAUCCAUAUAGUUUGAACUGAUUUACUAAAUAUAAUACCUCUAUAUUAUUACUGGUCCUCAGUCCUCUAAUAAGUGCCUGUACAGUGUACAGUCAUAUUGAUCAUUUAUAGAAAUAGAGAGCUGAGCUGUCCCAAUUGCCCAUGCUAAUACACGUGGGUAAACUUUAUGCUCCACCCUCCAGCCACUCCUAACAACAGUGUAGAUAUUUUAAAUGGAUGUGAACCUCGAUGCAUAUAUGAGCUGUACACGCUAAAACCUUUGAAAGGAUUUCUCACUGGAUGACUGGAACAGCGCAGUAGUCAAUAUACAGUCUAAUGUAGUGCUAAUGAAUGAAGAGAUAUGCUAGCUUUAAUACUUUAUAGAAGCAAAAUACAAUGACUCUAAAGGUCAUUAUGAUCAUUUACAUGUCUCCUUAGGAUAUUGCUGCAGUUUAUAUGAGAAUGGAUGUAGAGAGCUAAUGAAUCAAAGUUAUCAAACCAUUAUUGAGCUUUAUCUGAUCCAUCAGUACAGAAAGCAGUGGCACUACAGUAAUAAUGGUAGAUGCUUGUUUAUCAUGUUUUAGUUUAA